ACAAAAUAAAUUAGCAAGAUAUCGUAUUGGUGGACCUCCCUUUAAUGUGCUGGCUAGUUACGGAAGGAGCGCGUGGGUAGUGUUGAAAUUCUCGUUGUUUACUCGACCAAUUCCUUAAUUUCUCCGUUUCCACUAACAUUUCGCCUUUGCCAAGACCUAGAACAUGAUUAUGAUCGCCAUAAGAACUGAAUACGUAUCCGAAGACUGUUGUGUAGUGAGAAAUAAGGCCAUGGGAGUAAAAAAACAACAACGGGGAGGGAGGAGGACAUGACAGAGGCAGGAGGGAGCUCAGCUAUGCUUGGUGAAUUGGAGUGUGCGGAGGACCUGUUGGCCUUCAAGAACCCUAUCGCCUCUCGUCCUCUCCUCUCCUCCCGGCGCGGCACAGAAUGGCCCUCUUCAGUGACCUUCAAGUGAGUGCCACCAACACGGCCAUCACCGGAUCUGGUGGACGAUGACGUGAAGAUCACGUGGGAACUUUAACAAAUAACUGCUGAUCCAUCACGCCUUUAACUGCCUACAAAACAAGACAAGGCCACUAGAAAUGCACCGAACUACAGAAUCGUGGAAUAAGAGGAAGAUUGCCAUAGAUGCGGAGAACAGUCGGACAUAAGUGUACAGUGAAUGAAAGGAAAGUGCAGUGAAAGCAACCAUGAGAAAGGAAGCCGUUGGAAAGACAGAAUCCACUCAACAACAACAACAACAACAAUAAUUACUACUACUACUACUAUUACUACUACUACUACUACUACUACUACUACUCCUCUUUCAUGACCCACCACCACCACCACCACCAGUACAACCGUCGGCGACACUCCCGGCAAGAAAGGUGAGAACGUUGGCACACACACCUGCUGAUUUUUUUUUCUUUUCCCUCUCCUCUCCAUUUUCGUCCAGUCUUGCUUCUCUGCUGCACCUCCUUUUCCUUCCUUUCCUCCGCACCUUCCCACAUCCUCUUCCUAAUUUCCUCUUCUCCUACAGCUAGCCUCCCUCCCCACCCUGCUGCCUCUGCCCGCUUUCCGCACCCUGUCACUUUUUUUUCUCCCCAUCUCUCUUUCUCUCUCUUUCUCUCUCUUCUCCUUUGCUCAGUCUUUCCAACCCAUCGCCUCGCUUCGCCGCGCCAGGGACGAGACAGGUAGUAGCCAAUCAAAGGAGAGACGACCACCUGGCUACUGUUUCGUCAGCUUGCGUGCUUUGUGUCUGUGGGGGAGGGAUGCCGUCCACUUCACCCACAGUGACGAUCCGCCACAAGACAUGUACGUUCUGCGUGACCUGUUCUGCACCUGUCAGGCGUUCUGCACCUGUCAGGCUUGCUGGGCCUGGGCAGGCUGGACUGCUGGUGGUGGUGUCUGCAGGGGCUUCUCUUGACCCCUCAGGGACGUCCGCUGGUGUCGAGUGUGACAGUGAGUUCGAGUCUGAAGUCUUUGAAAUCUUUGAAGGUUCUGACCAGGAGGUGAUGCAGACUGUGGUGGUGGCGGCGGCUGGGAAGCUUAUGGUGACUCCUUCCGUGGUCAUUCCUCCUCCACCACCACCACUACCUCCUUCACAAACAACAGGAAGUAAAAGUGUAAACUGACGAUUGAGUAUGUAAAAGUGCCUAUAAUGAAAACAAUAAAAAGGUAAAAUGCUGAAAGAAAAUCUUACAAAAAUAAUGAUAAUAUAUAUUCUUUUGAAAUAAUAAAUAAAGAAAUAUGAAUGCGCCAAGAAUAUUAGAUUUCUUUGGGGUAAUAAAAAUAUCAUUGCAUGGACUAUUAAUAGCAAAUACUUUAAUGCAGCUGUGACUGUGGUAUUAGUAGCA